GACGAAGGGGGCUAGCGUUGUUCGGAAUUACUGGGCGUAAAGCGCGUGUAGGCGGUUGUUCAAGUCAGGUGUGAAAGCCUUGAGCUCAACUCAAGAAAUGCACUUGAUACUGGAUGACUAGAGGACCGGAGAGGAUAGUGGAAUUCCCAGUGUAGUGGUGAAAUACGUAGAGAUUGGGAAGAACACCAGUGGCGAAGGCGGCUAUCUGGACGGUUUCUGACGCUAAGA
rnacentral:rRNA from 1 species